UGUAAGCGUAUACCAAAGUUGUUGCAGUUAAAACGCUCGUAGUCGGAAUUUGGCAGUUCCGGAAGUGUGCACGUCGUGUGCGCACUUUGCGGGGACUGCUUUUGUGGUCUUGCGUAGGAUGAGGCACUUUCAUUAGUGAACGUCCUCACGCAACCACUCUUUACUGUGAGAAAAUCAGAGUGCUCAAAGCAGGCAUUUGCCGUGAAUGUAUUAGCAUGGAAUAAUAGAAUAGGACUCGGUUCUAUUUUGUUGGUUUGUUGGGACUGAGUAAUGAUUAAGAGGGACAGUUGGGGGCAUUUGUAUUCAGGCGCUAGAGGUGAAAUUCUUAGAUUGCCGGAAGACAAACUGCUGCGAAAGCGUCUGCCAAGGAUGUUUUCAUUGA
rnacentral:rRNA from 1 species